rnacentral:rRNA from 1 species
UACGUAGGGGGCUAGCGUUGUCCGGAAUCAUUGGGCGUAAAGCGCGUGUAGGCGGCCAUGCAAGUCGGAUGUGAAAGCCCUCGGCUCAACCGGGGGAAGUGCACCCGAAACUGCAAGGCUAGAGUCUCGGAGAGGAUCGUGGAAUUCUCGGGUGUAGAGGUGAAAUUCGUAGAUAUCGAGAGGAACACCGGUGGCGAAGGCGGCGAUCUGGACGGUG